rnacentral:misc_RNA from 1 species
CGUUUUGCCCGUCUUCACAGUGAGUUCUUUCACAUUCCCAGUUUCCAACCCGAUUCGUGCAGCUUGCCAAUCAGCUGCAGUAGCACUCAUAUCCACACGCUGCAUUCACUCAUCGUCAUGUCCGCUCCGAAAAAGGUGGCGCUUGUGACUGGUGCCAACCGUGGGAUUGGAUUUGCGACUGCUCGUCGCCUUGGUGAGCUUGGUUUCAAGGUACUUCUCGGCGCACGUGAUGUAAAGCGCGGCGAGGAGGCUGUCAACACGCUGCGUAACGACAAGCUGGAUGUGGACUUGCUGCUGAUGACGCCGACGGAGCACGCCUCUGUGGAGGCCGCUGUGCAGAAGGUUGAAGCUGACUACAAACGCCUCGAUGUGCUAAUCAACAACGCGGCUCUCAUGGAUUUCGACAACAAGGUGUUCCCCUUGAACAUCCAGCGCAUGCGCGAUGAGUUCGAGAUCAACUUCUUUGCCACCGUGGACAUCACAAACAGCUUCCUCCCGCUGAUGCUGCGGUCUUCGGAGGCGCCGCGUCUAGUGUUUGUGUCGACGCCGCUUGGAACGCAUGAGACGGUGGACCGCCCGCAGAACAAGUACGCCCACCCCAACUUGACAGCGUAUAAGUGCACCAAGUCCGCUGUGAACAUGUACGCGCACAACCUUGCCAAGUACCUCGAGAACUACUCUGAGGAGGCUGGUGGCAGCGCCGCUUCUGCGAAGGUGAACUGCUGCUACCCUGGCUACGUUCAAACUGAUAUGUGCUUCAACUCUACGGAGGCACACUUCACUCCCUACGAGGGCGCUGAGACGAGCGUGUGGCUCGCCACCCUGCCGGCGGAUGGGCCGACCGGCGGCUUCUACCACCGUGCCAAGAAGCUACCAUGGUAGUACCACCGCGCGGUGUGCAAUUUUAUUUGUUUGUCGACCCGCUCUUUUGCACUACUAGGAUCGCCUCUAACGUUUUAGACGAGGAAGCCUUCCCCCGCAAGCGCACCCGCAUUGCACCUUGUUUCCCUCGAAAACGUAUCUCCUUAUUUUCCGCCUCUCUUGUCCUUAGCUCACCUCUCUAUCGGCAUUUCCCGUUUCUUAGUAGCUGAUUUGUGCUGUCGUGUUGACUCGCUCACAUUGCGGGGAAGGGUUUCAUUCUCGACCUAGCAAUUCGUGUGCUUCACGCUGACGCAAGG